rnacentral:rRNA from 1 species
AUUGAACGCUGGCGGCAGGCCUAACACAUGCAAGUCGAGCGGAUGAAGGGAGCUUGCUCCUGGAUUCAGCGGCGGACGGGUGAGUAAUGCCUAGGAAUCUGCCUGGUAGUGGGGGAUAACGUCCGGAAACGGGCGCUAAUACCGCAUACGUCCUGAGGGAGAAAGUGGGGGAUCUUCGGGCCUCACGCUAUCAGAUGAGCCUAGGUCGGGUUAGCUAGUUGGUGGGGUAAAGGCCUACCAAGGCGACGAUCCGUAACUGGUCUGAGAGGAUGAUCAGUCACACUGGAACGGAGACACGGUCCAGACUCCUACGGGAGGCAGCAGGGGGGAAUAUUGGACAAUGGGCGAAAGCCUGAUCCAGCCAUGCCGCGUGUGUGAAGAAGGUCUUCGGAUUGUAAAGCACGUUAAGUUGGGAGGAAGGGCAGUAAGUUAAUACCUUGCUGUUUUGACGUUACCAACAGAAUAAGCACCGGCUAACUUCGUG